ACUUCACUGCAAACGUGAGCAUCCUUUCCAUAUCUCUUCUCACUUUUGCUGAUGAGGAAGAUUUUGCAGCUCUGCCUGAUACCAAAAUAACCCUGUUUUGCUGACCAUCACCAUCUUCAUAGGGCAGGCGAUGAUAAUGAGCUCAGAACACAGGAAGUUUACCAUUCGGCUGUACUAAAAUCGACCACUGCAAAGACAUCUCUCCCACAAAGAAAAGCACCCUGGAAUUUUCAUUUUCUUCACACUGUUGCCGUUAAUAUGCUAUAUUAAUAUUGUAGACGAGGGUAAAGGGAUUGGUGCUUUGCCUGAUUUCUCAGUGAACACUGGAGGUGAAAAUCAGACUUCAAAGCCCGUGUACUUCAUUCUAGAGUUCUACUCUGUAUUUGAUGUUCUCAUUGCUAAAAAUAGACAAGCCAUGGUGCAAUCACGAGAAAGAGACGAUUUAAAAACAAAUGCAACUUGAAAUUACCAGUGGCCCGUUGUUUGCAAAAAUAUGGAUAAUGGAUAUGAAAAUGCCAGAGAAGCCUUAAUUUCAAUCAGAAAACCCGCCAUGUGAGGAAGUGAGAGAAGUCACAGAAAGGGUUGUGAGGAGCCAAAAGCAACUCAAGUUCAGCACCUGGCAUUUGUAUUGUGCCCUUAGAACAAGGCAAAGCGAUUCUGACUCUCAAAACUCACUGUUCCUGCUGUGUGGAACAGAGACAAGAUAAGGGACAAAAGGACUCAAGGAAGUUUCAAGUGUGAUGAAUGUAUGGUUUCCUCAGAAGGCUUGUUUGAAGCAGAUGCUCCUGUCUUCACAGUCUUGCGGCACUGUAGCUCGGUUGCUUGGAGGGGAACCCGCUCCUACGUGAAAUCUCAUUGUGUUAUUGAAGUGAUGAUGUCCACAACAGAUAUUAUAUGAAAGAGGUUUAUUGGAUGGAGAGAGGUGG